ACACCCUAGCGACCGACUGCACGUGCAGAGUUUGUACACGACCCCACAAGCACACACACCAGGCAGUUGCGCUUGGAUACCCUCGUUCUGGCCCGAGGCAACCCUCCACCCUAGAUCCUCUAGCAAUGGACUUCGUACAGAUAAACCACGGAAAAAACUGGAAUACCUCGCCCCACCUCUUUUUUCCUAUUUAAUUCGCUAAAGCAGCUCCUGGAGUAACCAAAGAGAGUAGAAACUAAGGCGUGGCCACUUCAGUUGGGUUUUUUCCCACCUCAAAACCUUUAUUUUCAGUUUUUAAAAGCCACCUUAGCCCGCCAUAUUGGAACUGGCACGGUGUCUAAAGACUCCUUCCCCGCUGCUGUAGCGCUUCCAAGAAAACACAAGUAUUGACUGGGCUGGGGACCUGUGUCCGGCCACAGAAAACCAAUCGCUUCCCACCCCUCAAAUGUUCUCCCUUUCCCAGCCUAAUCCCGUUCAGCCGCUCCAGGAGGACUGAGAAGGAAGCUGUUUAGACCAUGCCAUAUUUCUUAGGCCCCAAGAAUCUUACAGAUGGACAGAUCUUCUCUUCAAAUCCUGCCGUCACAGCCCAGAGAAAGAGACAGCCACUGGAGCAGCACAUCCUCCUGAGGGAAAAUUCAGAAGACAAAUACUCCCUUCAACAAACAAGUCAGAUGACUCGUAAGUGAGGCGAACUUCAAGGCUAAGGUGGAUCCAGGGGCAGGACAAACUGUUCGCACGCCUAGCAUCUGUGGACUCAACCCUCCAAGCGCUUCCCCGCUUCCCCGGUCUUGUCGCGAGAACCAGAACCGUCGCUUUCAGGAACUCUCCAUACUACAGAGUGCUUCUGAACGUGUACAACACUAGUAACGGAAGAGGUCAAAGUUCAGAAAGAGAGGAAUUUCCCAAAUGAUCCAAAUCCAAGCUUAGAGAAGCCAAAGUCAUAGCCACUGGGCAGGACCUCUCUUGGCAAGUCAUCUAUUACUGGAAUUAUUAUUCAGAAACAGAUGUUAAUAAAUUUUUUAAUGUGG
ensembl:processed_transcript Gm13261 predicted gene 13261